rnacentral:lncRNA from 1 species
AGACCACUUUUCAAUACUCUCCAAAAUGCUGAAUUUAUGCACUGUAACUGAAAGUCUCAGCAUUACCAGCAACAAUAUUUGUACUCAUCCUCGCUAAAUUCAGAAAUAUUAUGGUAGAAAUAUAGUGUGCAUAUUCAAGACAAAUUAUAAUAUAUUUGUGAGUGAGUUAUUUCCUAAGACACAUAUUUUAUGCAGAGUUUCUGCAUAAAUUCACAUGGCAGAAUUCACGAACUUAACUAGUGGUGUAAUCUUUUUAAUACUGAUAUGCUUCAUUAUGAAUAAAUAGAAUUCACAGACAUUUUUCAUGACUAUUCCCUCGGGAAUGUUUUCUGAAGCAAAAUAUUACAAUGGAGGCUUAUAUUGUGUGCAUUUGCCUUGGUAAUUCUUUUGAUACAGUCACUAAUAGCAUGACUGUAAACUCAUUUUUCUGAGUAAUUAAAUCCAAGAAUUUGUAAGA